CGGAACGUGUUAUCUGGAUCCACAGCAUAGCCGGGUUUACAAGAGCAGAUGAAGCCAGUGCCGUUCAGCAGAGGCUGAGUUGCUCAUCUGAGCGGUCUCCACAGUCGUUGAAGCCAUCACAUACCCACUGCUGGUUCACACACAGCUUGUUGUUACACUGGUACUGGUUUGAUGGACACCAGUGUCCUCCAGGAUAGCGAGUUGCUGUUGGGAAAAUAAAAGGUGGACUCAUCAGAGUAGUCCAGGCAGUCAGCAAAACCAUCACAUUUAAGAACUUCUGGGAUGCAGUGUCCAGAUGUACACUGGAAUGUUCCAGGACGACAGGUCCGCAGCUCUGCACACAAAAUAAAAUACUUGGUCAGUCCAAAAAUUAUCUAAAAAAGGGGGAAUCCUUGUACUCUAUUUUUGCAUUUUUAUUGCUUCAUCUGUAUACAUGUAAGUAUACUGUAGUAAACAGUAGCAUAUAGUAUGUGUUGCCAUAUGUCAUGUAUUUCUGAGUAAAACACUAUAUUCCAAUAAAUAAAUAAAUACAAAUGUCAGGAGUGACUUGACGUCUAUUAAUAUGUGCAUGCAUUUAAUGGACCCUUUAUUUUAGAGUGAAUUACAAAAGAAGAGAAAGAAAUUCAAAGAUUCAACAAUAUUUGUAAUACACAACAUCAGGUUUAUUAGAUAUCUAGAUUAGUGAGAAAGCUAAGAGAACAGUAGAAAUGCAUUGCUUAUUCAGUGACCAGAAGAUGUUUAGGGAAAGAAGGAAAGAAUGGGUGAGUGAAUGGGUUUUAUAUUGAAUUCAACUUACCACAGUCUCGCUCAUCAGAAUUGUCCCCACAAUCAUUGUCAUGGUCACAAACCCAAGAUCCUUGAAUGCACUGCUGGUUGUCACAGCGAUACUCACUCUCAGAGCAAGGUCUUGGUUCUGCGAGCACAUACAUGAAAACUCUUGAGCUCCAUACAGUACAUGCGUAAGAGGUAAUGUAUGGCUCAACGCAUUACUCACCACAGUUUCUCUCAUCUGAUCCAUCUACACAGUCAUUGUUCCCAUCACAGCGCCAGCGAAUGGGUACACAUCGGUGAUUAUCACAGCGGAAAUCUCCCAGAGGAUCACAGGUCAACUCAUCUGCAUGCAGCAAAAUGGGGAGCGGAACUGAGUGCUGGAGCAGUCGGCCACACACUGUAUCUUAAAGCCAAUUGCCAGACCAAUGAAGUGAUCUGGACACUCACAUCUGGCUGUCGUCCCACCCGGGCCAAUCAGACACAGGUGACUACAGGUCAGGUAAUGGUCAUUGCAGGGAUUGUUACCUAG
rnacentral:lncRNA from 1 species